GUUCUAAAUCCCCAGGACUGCUUGAAGCAUCCUUUAUCUCACAUGAAACAUCCACGUAACCCCAGCGCAUGUCCCAACAGGCAGAAAAAACCGGUUUCAAACCGCACGCGCCGCAGCCCGCCGCGAAAACAAACCUCCCCAUCUCCCCCUGUAGCCCCGCCGCUUCCAAAGGGAACGGUGACGACGCGCCCCAACAACAACAACAACAGCGUCGUCGCUGGUCAGGUUAGAAUCCUGAAGCGCGGCGAGGAGAUCCCUAAGAAGACAACAGAUCUGGUCGUAGAAAAGACAGAUCUUGUCUCUACUCGUAGGAUCGGACCGGAUCCAGGAAUGGUUCCGAGUCAGAUCCGUUUACCCGUCCGCAAAGCAAAGACCGUCCCGUUUUACGCCGGUCCCGUGACCAUGACGUCUCCUCCUCCAAGCGACGUCCCUCUUCCAGCCUUUUUCGCUGCAAAGGAGCGUCUCUUUGUUCCAAGCCGCCGACGCUACCAACGAAAUCAUCAGGAUGCUCCGCCUAAACAUCGCGUGACCCGCGUACGGCCGAUGUUCCACUGUUGUCCAAAACUGUUCCAUUUUCGGAUCGAAUCUUUCAAAUAAAUCAUCUACAGACGGAUGAAAUCGAGAAGGUGAAGAAACAGCAUCUUCAGUUAUGAAACCGUUUUGUAUCUUCCCUUAUUUUUUCAAGGGGCAAGGUCGAAAUAUCUUCUUAACAGGCCUUAGUUUCUCUUCGAGUUUAGUGUUUGUAUAGAGUACUUGUUCAUAGGCUUUCUUUUUUUUUAAUUGUGUCUUUUGGUAUCUCCUGUGUUAGUUGCCGGUUUACUUUUAAGUUCGUCUUUCUUCUGUUGUGUCUCUUGUUGUUUCUCACCGUAGGCAAAGUAUCAGAGAUAUGUAUGUAUCUUUCUGGCAAUAUGCAGAUUGCAGUUUCUGUAUUACUUUGAUCUUUCGAUGUAAGAUCAGUAUUUCCAUCUUUAUAUUAAUUGAAAUUUAAGUUUUAUUUGUCUUUUUUUCCAUGGUUGUUCAAAGUAUUCUAUUCAUCCCUGAUAUCAAUCUAAGCGAUACGAAGACCUUGAUAUUGUGACAUUCUUAUGGAUCUGCUUUACAAUAACUCAAGAUAUAAAACUGGUUAAUGCUUCCCUCAAUUGUUUAACUUGUUACAUAAACUAUUCACGUUUGAAACUUGAAAGUGUGUCUCUUAUCACACGCAAAGAAACAGUGUUUAUACGUUUUAAACUAUCACACGCAAAGAAACAGAUUUUUAAGUCUUUUCUGAUUAGUGAUUUUUAAUAAUGCACGCUUGAUCCAUUUGGGAUUUUUAAAAACGGUCAUCGAUCUUAGAUUUAUCAUUGUGAACAAAUUAUAAAUUUUAUAGGUUGUCAUCAAUUACAUGCCAAGUUGCAAGAUACCAGCUCUCAUGGUUGGGCGGCCCACCAUGACCCUCUAUAGCCCAUAACUUUACAUAAGGUAAUUUUAAAAGAAUCUGCAUUCGAUUUUCACAAAAUAACAUAAGGUAAUUUAAUAUGAUUGAUAGAAACUUAUAAUUUAUUUAUCUCUAAGUUAAACUACUUGCCUUGUCUUUUUACUUCCGUAUCAAAAAAAAUUGACGGUGUUAACGGGGCUGGUUGGCACUAGGCAGCUGUCGAUUGUUCAUUGGUUGAACAUUACGUGUUAAAUGAUAAAUCCCCAAUAAGUCAGUAGCCACAUCAGUUUUUUUGUUCCUUUGCAUAUAAUAAUAAUAAAAAAUGUUUUAAAUCCAUAAAACAGCAAGGUGCCCUAAUAGUGAGACAAAAAAAGAAGAAAGAUUAACCCAAUUGCAAAAAAUGUUAUAGAGAAUCUUUACAUAUAAAUAUAAGAAAUAAUUAGAUAUACACUUUCCUAGCCAUGUUAAUUAACUACUUAUUAUCUCAAAGUUAAAUCCAAAUCUGCAUCUUGCAUUUGCUAAAAUGUAAAAAACAAUUUAUGUUUCGAAAAAUACAAUAAAGAAAGAAAAAAAAAGAGACGAAUAAUAAUAGAGUGAGCCUCGUAUAUAACAACACCAUACAUCUCUCUUUUUCUUCUCUGUUUCGAUACUUCAACUUCCUCCUUCUCUCUCUCUCUUCUGUAACUUCCCCCUUCAUUCUCUUGCAUAUCUGAUUCCCUUUGAUUGGUGAAGCUUCAAUGAAGAAGGUUGUUACAUCGGCAGCAGCUAAGAUGACGACGGUUAAGGAUGAGUGGGUGGCGGCGGCGAUGACGGACGACCAGAUGGUCGUAGAGCUUCUUUUACGGCUGAAGCACGCGGGGACGGUAGCUGCGGAGAAUCCGGAGACGAAUCUCCGGUGGGGAAUCCGUCAACGGAGGUCACGGUCCUCAAGAUUUGGCGGCGGCGUUACGUUGAAGAAGGGUGUGGAUUCGGUUAGAGGUAGUCCGAAGACGCCGCUCUCCUGGAGCGGCGGAUCUGGAAGUGGCGGCGCCUCUGCAUCUCCCUCCGCCGAGGACACCAGUCGCCAAGCUAGCUGCUCCACGUCUGCAGGAUCCGGAUCUAAGGUACUUUCUCCUCCUCCUCCAAACUUUCUUCUCCGGCGAUACACGUCCGUCGUGUGUUAGUAAGUCGUUCUCCUCGUCUCUGUAUCAUCCCUUCUUCAUGAUUCACACGAUUCGUAAUUCUAUGAUGACGUCAUCUCUUUCAAGCCGACGGAGACGGGUCGGACCUCCCUCGGCGUUUACGGCGGAGCCACCACCUUAUUUUCUCUAGCUCUAGGUUUAUUUUCAAACUAACUCUUCCGUUUCCAAAAGUCAAAAGCAUUUUUUAGUUUAUUUUCCUUUUUUUCGUUCUUGACAAUAUUCUAUGGCAAAGCUUAAUAAGAUCUGGUGGUUGGACGGUUAAUCUUCUCGAUUAGUUUAACGCUCCGGUUUGAACCGGAGUUUUCAAGCGGAUCUCACCUUGUGGAGCGUCUCAUAAUUGGCCGGUUUAGAGGUGAUUUUAUGAACCGGCCGAGUUUUAAAUUUUGUCUCGAGGAAUAAUAUAAAGCUUCUUUAGGAUUUUUAUUAUGGGGUUAGUACAGCAAGUUGGUCAAACGUGCACGUUCGCUUUACGUUUUGAUGCGUGAAACGAUACCGUUUUGGGUGAAAAGGUGGGAGGCGAGUUAAAUCCUGUCGGAGAGAUUAGGAUCACGUGAUCUUAAAAGAAUGAUGACGAUUGAUGACGCAGGGAUUUUCACAUCCAUUUUAGUAGUUUUACUGUCUUUCUGAUUUUCCUGACUUUUUUUUUUUGUUUGAAAUUUUCUAUUGUGGGAAAACAAACUUUACAAGUAUGUUAAAUAAGAUCUUUGGGUUUGAUUAUAGGAAAAGUGAAAGAUCUAUAAACAGUUGUCCUUAUUCGUCAGCAUAUCAUUGUCUUCAUUGAUAGUAACACCUUCAAUUUGGAAGAUUUGGCAUUUUAAAUUUUCUGAAUCAGUAUAUUUUCUUAUUUUGUUUUUGCAGGCUUUCCCCACUAACGAAAUCACCAGUUGUUUUCCCAAGAGAUUGAAGAACAAGAAGGUAUUAAAAAAAAAACUCUCUUGAAUUUACAAAUUACACUUUAAUACUGAGCUGAGUUUUUUUUUAAUAUUUGGCAGUCAACUUCUGAGCUUAAACACGAAGAGAACUUGAAGUUGAAGGAAAGACUCCACCUUGAAAAGGUACUUUCUCUUUUUCUAACCUUUGUUUUUGGAGGGCAAGACCGCUACCUCGGAGAGCUUAUUCUUCUUACCUGAUCUCAACAUAACGCCAUCCGAGGACGAGUUAUUGUAUGGAACUAGCUAGGUGCCAAAAUUUCUAUCUCGAUUUGAGUUACGACCAAGAAGGGAGGCAGAGACUUUAACAAAGAAAGUGAUUGUAUAUUGUCUCUUCCCAUCAUUCUUGUUUCUUUCUGGGUAAAACGCUCAUUACUUCUUGAUUAUUUUUUUUUAAGAAGAAAGUGAAUGUUAAGUUCUUUAGUGUUUUGUUCUCUCUCUUUUCUACCCGAUUCCUUGUAGCUAAAGCGUUGUUUGAGGAAAAAGUAGGACAACUAGUAGACUUUUGUGUCUUCGAAUUUCAACUUUAUUUUUAAAAUUAGAAGGAUAAAUCCCUUGUUUCUGCUCAACUAAUCCAAGACAAGAGAGAUCUCUCUAUCCACCUCAUUUGUCCACGAUUAUUCUAGUAUUUAAUUUUUCAAUAUUUUAUUUAAAACUUGUGAGGUGUAGUGUUAUUGGUGGUUCGUCGGCGUGUCCAUGAAUAUAAAAGAAAAACAAAUGACAACUUGUGAUCACCUAAUUUUGUCGGUCUUUUGUAUAGAUCCAAAGUUAUUUAUUACUAUUGCAGAUAAAUACACAAAAGUUAGAUGGUACUUAUUGUUUAUAAAUGUCAUAAAACAUGUAAUUUGAGGGAAAAUGGAUUUUUAAAGGAAAAACUAUAUUUGAUACUCCUUCCGUUUCAUAUUGUAAAUAGUUUUAGAAAAAAAAUUUUGUUUCAAAAUGUAAGUAGUUUUUAUAUUUCUAAGUAAUUUUUACAUUUAUUGAAUAUAAUGUAACCAAUCAAAUUAAAUAUAUUUAUUUUUGAUUGGCUAAAUUAUAUCUAACAUAUUUAUUAUACAAUACUUUUUAAAACAUAAUAAUUUUCUUAAUUUUUGUGAUUUUAGCUAAAGCUACUUACAUUAUAAGAUUAAAAGAAAAAAAUAUAAUAUUACAUAUAUGCUAAAAUAUCCAAAACGAGAAGCAACUGAGAAAGUAAAGUAGUAUAUUUUCAAAUUAUUAGCAGUUGACAAAAAAAUAAAGAAAGAACACGGUUUCAGACAUUUAUGGUUAAUUAAGACACGGUUGGUCUGGACGAAUAAUAACUCCUAGGGGAAAGAGAAAAAUAGUAUUUUUUUCUCCAAUCCCCAAAACGCAAGAAAACAAUGUCGUUUAACAGCUCCCACCUCCUUCCUCCGCAGGAAGACCUUCCUCUCCGACACUACUCCUCCGAUCAAUCACACCAACCGUCUCUCCUCACCGCCAGUUUCCUCCACCUCCCUCCCACCACAGCCACAACCGACUCCGAGUUUACCCAUCCGCAUCGCGACGGAGACAGUCCCGCUGCUGCUGCUACGAACCGACGGUGGCUCUCAUUCCACACGGAGGUCGAAAACACGGAAGAAGUCAAUCCUGAAGUCAACGCCGAUGGUGUUGAAGAUUGGAAGAGCGCUAGCGACAAAGCUGCGAUUUUGAAACAUCCCAUGUACGAGCAGCUUCUGGCAGCCCACGUGGCUUGCCUUAGGGUCGCUACUCCCGUUGACCAGAUUCCGAGGAUCGAUGCCCAGCUCAGCCAGUUACACACCGUAGCCGCAAAGUACUCCUCUCUCGGUGUGGGUAUGGACAACAAGGAGCUUGAUCAUUUCAUGGUAAGUUGGAUAAAAGGAGCUUCCUUUUUUUUUGUCAUACUCUGUUUUGUAUGUCUUAUGGCUUGUUUUAUGAUGAUGCAGUCACAUUACGUUGUGGUGUUAUGUUCGUUUAAAGAACAACUCCAACACCACGUCUGUGUCCAUGCGUUAGAAGCCAUUACGGCUUGUUGGGAGAUUGAGCAGUCACUACAAUCCAUAACGGGUAUGUAUGGUCUCACCUUCUCGCUGUAUUGUAUGUCUUUGUGAUUUUGUGUUGUUUGUGGGCUGCAGGAGUUUCACCGAGUGAAAGUAACGGCAAGACAAUGUCUGAUGAUGAUGAAGAUGAUAAUCAAGUAGUAGAGAGCGAGGUGAACAUGUUUGAUGGAAGUUUGGACGGUUCAGAUUGCAUGAUGGGAUUCGGGCCUCUUGUUCCAACCGAGCGGGAGAGAUCCUUGGUGGAGCGUGUGAAGAAGGAACUGAAGCAUGAGCUUAAACAGGUAGUUGCGAUAUUACAUUAAAUUAAACUAGAACACAUUUGUGUUAUAUCAUGUCAUGUGUGCUCGUAUUUUUAUAGGGUUUCAAAGAGAAGAUUGUGGACAUAAGAGAGGAGAUAAUGAGGAAGAGAAGGGCUGGGAAGUUGCCUGGAGACACAACGUCUGUGCUCAAAGAGUGGUGGCGGACUCACUCCAAAUGGCCAUACCCAACUGUAAAAGCCUCAGCCAAGACAUUUUCUUACAACUUUCUAAAAGGUUUUUUUUUUAGUUGGUUUUUGAAUUUUUUUGUAGGAGGAAGAUAAGGCAAGGCUUGUGGAAGAAACCGGUUUACAGUUGAAGCAGAUUAACAAUUGGUUUAUCAACCAGAGGAAAAGAAACUGGAACAGCAGCUCUUCCACAUCAUCUACUCUCUCCAAGAGCAAACGUAAACGGUAAUAACAAGAUUUGCGUUUCCUCAUAAUAUAUAUAUAGUUUUGUUUCUUGCACAAUUUAAUCAGUCUCAUAUCCUCUAUCUACCAAACUCAGGACUGGGAAGUCGUAGGUGACAUUCUGGUUAACCAGAGGAUGAUGCUUGCUUCUCCGGAUAUGAAAGACAUGGUUUCUCCUCCGGUUAUGUGAUCGUACUAAUUACAAUAUGUAUAGGUCUAUCGGUUUGCCUAUAAAAUUGGAUUUGUAGAGCUUAAUCAUGUUUGUAUCAGCUUAAAAUCUAUGUUUAUGUGUGUAUAUAAAGUAUAGUUCUUGGAAGUUGGUUUUUGCGUCUAGUAAUGAACGCUUGGUCGGUUUUUUUCUUUGUAAAUUGCUAUGGUUCAUUAGUAUCAAACAAUAUUCAUCGCAGUUAAAUCUUUAUCUCAAACAAAAAAAUAGUUUUGUAUAAGUGCAAGCAGCCAGUACCGGUCCUGACAUAUAAAUGACCAGAAAUUAAGUUUUUGUAUAAAUGAAAGCAAGAGGUAGCAGCUUUAGGCAACUUUACAGUUUUGUAUAGUUGUGACCUCUUGCUAAUCCCCGUUAUUGGACUUGACCAUUGAUUUUAAUCUGAGAAAUACCUUUUUAUUCAAUUUUUUUUUUAAAAUAAAACAAUCUGAAGUCAGGGUACAACAAACAUUCACACAACAACAAACACAUUUAACACACUAAUCCAAAAUCAACAACUAAUAAAAAAAUGAUUACAGAGCUAUGUUACAAAAAACAAACAAAACAAACAAAGAACAUAUUAACCAAUAUGUUGUAUCAAAUCAGAAGAGAAGAGAAGUAUCACCAUCUAAAAACCUUCUUCUCUAGACUGAAUCCUAAUCAGUCUCAGCCUACCACAUGAUUAUCGCAGAGGCCAAGAGUAUAUAUCCCGUGGAGAUCAAUAUCCAUAGAAAAAAUUAUAGUGUUCUUUUGAAAUAUGAGACUAAACCAAACCAAAAGGGAGGAGAUAAAAAUGAACACCACUCCCAAACAAACAAAGUGACCUGCAAUACAUUGUUGAACAAAUCAAAAGAUUAGCUUUCCAUCAGGAUUAUGUGAAGCAGAUAUGAGUUACUACUUACUUACUUACCUACUGAUACAUACUGAGAAGAAUGUUUCAUCAACCAGAUCCAGAAAACACAUUCUCCAAGAUAUCAUGCAGUUUUGGAGCUCGUCUCCGGAACAUCGGUUCUAACCGGAAAGAAGGGACACCGGUCUGCCAUCGCUUGGCAUCAUACAUCUCAUUCCACGCCUGUACUAUCUCAUCAAUCUUGAACCCCAUACCUUCAAGUGCACUCUCGCUUGAACAAUGACUCUUCACCAUCACAGCUACAUCAGUUGAAGAAGCUCCAGCUAGUUCAAACUUCUCAACCGCAACCUCCAAACAUUCCUCCCAAGUUAGCAACCCAAGCUUAUACUCCACUAUAGAGCGUUCAUACAGCAAGGAGCCCCACAAGAGAUUAAUCUGAGAACUCAUAUUAGCCGUCUGUUCUUCACUAAACAACUCCAUCUUAUGCAGCAGUGACUUCUCUUUAUCAUACUUUGAGAUUCCGUUUAGACGACCCUCUUCCAUCUCUUCCCAUAUCUGCAUACCCUUCUCCAUGCUAUCCUCAGCUUUGUUGUACAGCAUAAGAACCUCCUUAGACACCUCACUCUCUAUAUCCACCUUCCUUUUGAGAGCAUGAUACCACAAAAGCUUUGCGUGUUCGAACUGUUCUUGACCAAGCGCAAUGAGAGCUUCGUAGAAGUCAGGUUUAAUCUUGAGAGCUUCCUCAUACUUCUCCGCAGCUUUGUUGUACUCGUUCAGUGUCCACACAAACGCAGCUUCUAUUACAGCUUCUGUUGAAGCGUCUUCUGGAAAGUAGACUUGCUUCCUCGCCUUUGACAUAUGGACGUUACCCCAGUUGAACAUAGCUAGCGCACCCAUUUCUCGGAACUUAUCAGCUGCUAUUUCGAAAAGCUUUUGAGCGUCUUCGCCAGUUACUGCUUCCUCCAUCGCUUCUGUGUAGAGCUUCAUCCCUAGGUCGUGGAGGUCCAAGUAAGAAUCGGAAUCAAACCCUACAUGGUUCUUGAACAUCUGCGCAAACUGGAAGAUCCAGUUCUCAAAGGAGGUGGAUGCUUUGUCAGAUUCAACCUUCAUGCCAUCAUAGGUUGGUUCUUGAUCAGGGUGAACUUCAGCUAUAUAUAUUCUUAAGGAACCGAGUUUGUCAUUGUUAGAAGCAGCUAGAUUCAGUUCAUUCGUUGCAGUGAUGGUGACUAAAUCACCUUCUGGAUCCUUGUACUUGAUCAAGAAACCUCUGAGAGAAGGGAAACGAUCUUUGAUCACAUCUCUUACGAGUCUAACGCUGGAAUCUAGCGGUAACUGUGCCCACCUGAUAUCAUCUCCAUGUACCAACUUAACCGUUCUAGUAACUGUUGACUGUUCGAAAAACUCAGAGGCAAUGACCUCUUUGUCCAUGACAACAACCUUAUCAUCUUCCAUCUUCCUCUCUUCUCCUCCUGCCUUGUUACCAUUUCUCUUCUUCUGUUUCUUGAGUUUAGGUUUCUUUUCUUCUUUAUUACCACCAAUCUUUGCAUCAAUCUCAGACUUUUUAUCGCUCUUCUCCUUGCUCUCUCCUUCGUCUCUCUUGACAAUCUUUGGACUCUCAACACCACUCUUCUUCUUCUUCUUGCUCUCCUUAACAACCUUCUUUAAACUCGCUGGGCCAAGAGGCUGCACAUUAACAAAGCUCUUCUCCAUCUCAUCAACAUCAACACCUUUCUCCACCAACGCCUUCUUCACCCUCUCAAACACUUCAUUCGCAGACGCGUUCUCCGGCUCCAUGUUCAGCACAAUCCUAGCAUCCCUAAACGCGUAAUCUAGCUUGUUCAAAGCCUCGUAACACCUAGACCGUCGCACUAGAGCCUUACUGUACCUAGGAGAAGCCUCGAGAGCCAAAUUACAUUCGUUUAUAGCGUUUGGAUACUCACCUAAACCCAUUCGCAUGUAGCAAGAAGCCAUGCUCGUUCUAAGAUACGCUACAUCGAUGUGUUCCUUAGGCAACAGCUUAACGGCCUUGUCGAAGCUUAACAUCGCUCCUUCGUUGUCGCGUUUUUGGAAGAGCUUGUUCCCUUCUUCUUUGAGCUCGAGUGCUCUGCUGAUGAAUAUCUCCAUGUCUUCGUCGAAGGCUCUCGAAGUCGAACGAUGGUUGGUUUUUCCGCCGCCGGAAGCAUCCUUUGCCGUCACCGGAGUUUUCUUCUUCGUCGCCGGUUUUCCCAUUUUCAAACUACUUUCCCGAUAUAGAAAACAAUUAAUAAACGUGUAAGAUUGAAGUUUGAUGAUGAAGCAGAGGAAUGAAACAGAGAAUAAGAAGGAGAAGCUUUUAUGUUGACACUUCAAAGGGAACACGACACGACUCUUUCCAUAGGUGGAGUGAACCCUAAUCCAAGAAUAAAAUAAAUAAUAGUAAAAAAAUACACAUUUGUUUGUUUGCUGUAAUAAGCAAACGGUAUUGUAUUCCGACCAAAGCGAAAGUCUUCGUUGUGUGUGUUUGCUGGAAACUGGAAAGAUAGAGAAUUAUUAGUUUUUCUUUUUCUUUUCAAUAUAUAUAUACGAAAUAAAUAUCUAUAAGGAAAAAAAAACUCACAGAAUAUUUUGAUAUUGGCCCCAAUAAGUAUAAUGUAGUAUUUUAGAUAAAUAAAAUUAUUUAUAAAAUCAAUGUAUUUGUAAUUAACAUUAAACUAAAAGUUGCAUUUAAAUUUUAAAAUGACAUUUUUGUAAUUAACAUUAAUACUAAAAGUUGUAUAACAAGAUUUUCAGAAACAAAAUGAGUAAUUUUUUCCUUUUAUAAUAUGUGAAUAUGAAAAAUCGAUUUAAGAAAAAACACAUACAGAAUAAUUGAUAUAGGCCCAAUAAGUAAGUUUAUCUAGGCCCAAUAGGUAUAUUUAGCCCUCUCAAUUUCUCAAAUUUUUACAGAAAGAUGCUCACAUCAAUUUUAUUGGCAAAAAAAAAAGAGAUAACUCAUAUUGCUUGAGACACAUGAAACCUAAUAGCCUUGUUCAUAGGAUCAUAGACAUGUUUCUUGUUACAUAAAUCAUGUUUCUUGUUACAUAAAUUAAUGGUUGAAACUUUAGCCGACCCUGGAGCUUACGGGUUUGAAGAAGUAAGGCUCGCCGGCAUAAGUAAACUGAGCGGUGCCGCCAGCUGCUAUAGCGUUUCCGUUAAUCAGAAGACAUGUGUUUCCUCUUGGGAGCAGUAGCCACGGUUCAACAGGCUUCACGGGAGCAAAACCUCCGCAAGAGAGAGUCACGUGCAACUGAGGUUGGGAGCACGUGUUGAUCACCGAUAUUUUCCACUCCGGUUCUCCGGAGAUUACUCUCCCCGUCCUCGCCCCUCCGAUCUGGAUGUUAGCGAAAGAGCAGCCGCACAGUCCUGGAUUAAGAUAAAAGGCAUGAAACUUAUGGGAUACAUCAUACAUGAAAAAAGUCUAUAGAGAUUCGAUUAUACAUUACCUUGAGUGACCAUAGACAGAAGAAGAAAGACAACAAAAUACCUAAGAGCAAACGUCAUUGUUGUUGUGAUUUUGUGUGUUUUGAAUGAGAAAAGAGUCAAUCAGAUUUAUAUAGUCGUUGCUUAUGCUUUAAGUCUCUUGCAGCCUUAAUUAGUAAAGAUAUAGUCCUAGAUUUCAUAAGAAUAUGGAAACACAAUUACCAAAUAAACAACAGUAUAGUUAGUAUAUAUCUAUACACUUUUGGCAAUGUAUUUUACUUAUUAAUUGCUUGUAUUUGGUUGGUCAAUGUAUCUAAGAUUUCAAGGUGUUUACUUGCAAGGUGUUUUAUCUCUUUAUUAUUUUUAAAACAUUUCAUACUAUGUGUCUUAACACUACACUGACUGCCCAUAUCCUUCAGAUUAAUAUUAUUAUAGUUUUUGCAUGAGAUUUGUGCUAAGGAAAUUAUAUAAUAGACGGAAGAAUGAUGAGUAACGAAAAAGUAAUACUCAAUUCGGAGCUAACCAUUCCCUAUUUUGUUUUCUUACCCUAAAGCUCAAGAGAUAUGCCCUAAUCAUGUAAUGAAUGGCCUAAUCAUACUUUCAUCCUACCAAAACGAAUUAUAAUUUUUGUAUCAGGUCUAAAAAUUGCCUCAAAGAGUAUCAAAGCGCCAUGGAUGUGAGGAGAGGACAAGUGAUCUAGCUACGCAUUGUUCAUGCCAUGGAACACACUUUUUCUGCAAAAUGAACAGAUUUACAUCGGUUAUCAUUCAGGUACUAAGACAAAAUAAUUUGUUUCUUAACCUCGUAAAGCCUAAGCAUUAUUCAGUUAACCAUGAGAACAGUUUUUUUUUUAUUGUGGGAGAGAAGUAUUCACACCUUAUCUUGUGCCGCUGCAACAAAGUCGAUUGUCGUUUAUAUAUGUUGCUUGGACACCAAUCAUCCAAGAUCCGAUGGAGGUAUAUAUCAUCCAACGCAUAUGUCUUCAACUAUCCACUGCAUUUAUAUAAACACUAGUGGAGAAAUUGUGAACCGAGCUUAAUUUGACUUAUAUCUAGAUAUAAAAUUUACUCUUUCAGGUGACAAAAUAUUUUUACCAAAGUGUGGAAACCUAACGUUUUUAUAUUGAUAUACGUGCAUGCCACCGAGAGAGGCACACGAAUUGCAUGAUCAAUCAGAGACAAAGGGAAGAGCUUAGCUUUUAACCUGUCAUUGAUAUUUGAAGGUCUCCCUCUCAACAUGUAAAUGUAAAUGUAAAUUUAUAAAAUUAAUCAAAAUAAAAUAUUCGUUCAUUUAGAAAAAGUAACAAAUUAUUAAAUUUUGUAGAUAUAUAUGUUUGAAGAGUAAGAAUUUAAAAAUAUGAAAGAAAACAUGCAUGAUGUUAUGUACAACAGAAAAAAAUAUCGUUUACCAAUUUAUUUACAAACUCAAAACAAAAUCCAAUGAGCUGACCCAACCAAACCGAAAAUAAAAUAAAAAACGUGGUUCACGAGCCAAACCGAAGGUGGGGGAUACAACGUAUAUACACGGUAACGGUAGGCUUCGCGCCUCCGUCAAAUGACGUGUCAUCCUCUUGGAUUUUCCGUUAAAGUAGACGACACCGCCGUUAAUCGCCGUGGUCCAUGGAUUUCUUCAACCAGAGGAAGAAGAGAAGACCCUGAGAGACGCCAUCUCCCCCGUUUCUUCUCUCUCUCUCAAUUCCACCUCGAUCUGACGAUCAUCAUAAACCCUACUCUUCGAUCGUAAGCUCAGAUCUCCGUUUCGAGCUGGAUCGGGCGAAUCAGUGCUCGAUCGCUUCUCUCCGAUUGGAAUUUGAUCGGAAUAUUCGAUUCACGAUCGGAAAUCUGGAGAGGGAGAUAGAGAGUAGGUAGAGAGUUUGGUGGAGAUGAUGCAGAGACGGAGUCCGCCGAAGCACAGGCAUGACGGGACGUCGCCGCUUCCAUUGGGGAUGGAUUGGAGUCCUCCGCCGCGCAAAUUGGUUAGCUCUUACGUUUCCCGCGUAUUCGAACUUUAUUGUGGGAGCUUCGUGCUUGAAUUCGUUUUUGGGGGGUUUGAGUGAGUCCCAAGCUAGAAGCUACCAUCAAAGCCCUAAGUAAUUGGGAAACUCCUAACAAUUAGCUGAAGCAAUUGGUGAAUUAUGUUUCGUUGAACAUCAGGAGUAGCUAAAACUUUGGUUAUGCUCCUUGGAUAGUUGGUUCUGUUUGGCUAUCAAUUGCAUUUUUGAUAUAUGUAAAGUUGGAGACUUUAAGGCAGUGAGAUUAUUAUUGUGCAGAAUGGUGGAGAUACUGUUUGGCCUCAUGACCCUCGAACCGGAUGGAGUUAUUGUGUUACAAUACCCUCCUGGGCUGUCCUUCCAAAGUCUAAACAUUCAGAUCCCGUUGUGGUAAGUCAAAUCUCCUGGGUUUAUCUCUUGCAAGCUCAUAAUCUUUAGUGUUUGUUUAUAGCAUUUUUUUUUUUGCUGAACCAUAUAGCGUGAACGUUUGUGGAUCAAUAAACUCUUAACAUGAAUAAUGAUAUAUUGUUUCCUUCCUCUUCUACCUGAAUUAUCUACUGGAGUGUGCCUUCUUUUUUUUUUUUGGUAGUUGAAGAGUUUUGUUGUUGUGCAUGUAUUAGAUUAUUCCUGACAUUUUAGAGGAACAGUUUUACAGGGUUCAGAUAAGUGUGCAGUCUCCGGAAGGUGUUACCACAAUGCGAGGAGUGUUGAGAAGAUUUAAUGAUUUUCUUAAGCUAUUAACUGAUGUAAGAAUUUUAUUUGCCUUAUACAACUCUCCAUUUUUUUCUUCACUUCUCAACGAUAUGCACAUUCAUGUUUUCCUCUCAGCUUAAAAAAGCAUUUCCCAGAAAAAGUUUUCCAUCAGCUCCACCCAAAGGGCUGUUACGUAUGAAAAGCAGAGCAGUGUUAGAAGAGGUAUGCAUUUUUCUUGGCGCUAACUGAAUUAGGUCACUUGUGUAACCCCUUUCUCUAAACUUCGCCCAACGAAGAGUAAGCACGAAUAGGGCAGAUGUAUAGAUAUACGGAAAGCCAUGUACCCAGCAUACAAUUAUUCAUGCAAAAAAUCUGUUUCACAAGUGAUAACUGUGACCUUGUUGCAGAGAAGGUGUUCUCUUGAGGAAUGGAUAACGAAGCUAUUAUCCGAUAUAGAAUUGGCAAGAAGUGUCGUAGUUGCAUCCUUUCUUGAACUAGAAGCUGCUGCUAGGUCUGGUAUGAGCUAUUACAUUAUGCUCUUAAGCCGUGCUUUGGUAAACUUUAUUAACUGUUAUUAAAUUCUACCGUGAUGUUGCAUUUCAGCAUGCCAAGAUGUAGAUCAGAAUGCUUCUGAUGCGAAUAAUGAUAGCACAAGUUCGUCACCCAUGGUUCAUCCAAGUUUGAGCUUGUUUCAGACUGGCGGCAGUUCUUCUCUCACAUCUGACUAUGGCAGUGAUACUGUUUAUGAAACAUCUGAGCUUGGAUCUCCAAGUGUAGGACAGGAUGAUAUUUCUGAAAUUGGUACCGAAGAUCUAACUCUGGAUGAAGAAGUAACAAAUCCAAUAGAGAAGCUCGUUAACUUUAGCAUGUCCAACAUUGACGAGGGACUUUCAAUGAGCCAAACUAUUCUAGAGCAACUUGAAGACUUUUCCAAACGUAAAGUCCGCUCAAGAUAUGUCGAUAAUAUCCAAGGGAAGGAUGUGUAUAAUGGAAACGCUUCUAAAGAUGUGUUUCUUGGUAACAAUGGCUCACGACUUCUCUCUGAAUUAGAAUCAUCAGCUCACUCAGUUAUGCAUAAUAGAAAUCUUUCUGUUGAAAGUGCUGCCGGGUUUUCUCUACACACCGGUGAGACCUCAACAUCUGGUCUCCUAAGUUCAAGCAGUGAAAGCCACCUGGAUCUGAACCGAGGUGCUGGUGUAUCGCAUGGAACUGGUCUUGUUUGCACCCCAGAGAGACAGGGUAGUGCACAAAUAGUUCUUCCAGUGGACCUGCGUAAGAAAUUGAACAAGACUCUGUUAGCCACGAAUGAGAGACUUGUCAAUGCAAAAACAGAUAUGGAAGAUCUUAUAGCAAGACUAAAUCAAGAGAUAGCCGUGAAAGAUUACCUGAACAAAAAGGUACAAUAAGAAAGCUCCUUUUCUUUUUGGUAUCCGUAUCUUAUCAUUUUUUUUCUAUAGAACGAAUGGUAGUGUUGUAAUCUUGUUUUUCUGGUCAGGUUAAUGAUUUAGAAGGGGAACUUGAAACUACUAAGCAAAGAAGCAAAGAGAAUUUGGAGCAAGCUAUUUUGACCGAGAGAGAAAGAUGUACUCAGAUGCAGUGGGAUAUGGAAGAACUUAGACAAAAAUCUUACGAGAUGGAAAUGAAGUUAAAAUCGAGAGAGGUAUGAUUUAAAAUAGUCUCAUAUCUAUUAAAAUUAUUUUAGCAACCAAGCUGGUUCGCGUAGCAGGCUGAUUCAAAUCAUUACAACAGGAUGGGAGCUCACAUGAAGAACCCACUGAAGAGCCAACUAUUUCCGAGAGAGAUGUUUUGUGGAAAGAAUUGGAUGCCAGAAAACAACAACUGGGGGAUCUCUCCAGGCGAUAUAAUGAAUUAGAGGCAAAAUCUAAAGCAGAUAUUAAAGUUCUUGUCAAAGAGGUUAAAUCUCUGAGGCGUUCUCAUGUGGAGCUAGAAAAGAAGCUGACUCAAUCUUUGACAGAUAAAACAGAAGCUGAGGUAAUUUCUGGCUAUGACAGCACCAUGGGUUUGUAGAUUUUUACUAUGUAUGUAUGAAAACAAGAGAGAUAACUGAGCCUGGAAGAACGUUGCACUUUUCAGAAACUGCUGGAACAUGAGAGAAAGCUACUUGAGAACUCAGCAUCGGCUAGAAAAAAGUUGCUUAGUGACUGCAGAAUUCUCCACGACCGCCUUAAAGAGUACAACUUGAAUUUAUCAACAGACGGAAAUGGUAGCCUGGUAGAGGACUCAACUACAGUAUCAGAUGCUCUGCGUUUGCUGUCAAUAUCUGAUGAUCAAAUUGAGGAGGUAAUACUGCAUCUCUGCUUUAUCUCCUUUUUAAAUCACAGUUUCCCAACCCAAUCACAUCCAUGGUUUCCUCUACUAGGAGUUGCUUUUCACUGCUGCUUGAUACAUGCAUCGGGAUAAAGCUAUUUGUUAGCGUAGGGUAGUUAGUUAUUCGCUGUACUAGUGAAGCAUUGCUAAAACAAACCUUGCUUGUAACACUGUAACGGUGGCCAUUUUUCAGGCUCAGCUGCUUGCCGGGUUUGAUGAAACUGCUCAGGGCAUUGAUAAAUCUCUCAGCAUCCAUACCGAGACAAGAAUCAUGGAGGACGAGCUGAGGAAGACAUUAGGAGAGAUCUUUGUUGAGAAUGCCAAAUUGAGAAAACAGGUGAACUCUGCAAUGCUUCGUGCUCUCCAAAGACCACCAAGGAAGAUAUGAACGAGAAAUAGGAGGCAUCAACAGAAACACUGAACGUCGUAUAGGUAUUAAUCAUAACAGUUGCUUUGACCUGAGAAUAGAGUUACACAAUGAGAACUGCCAUUUUUAUUGUCUUUGAUCAAUGGACUGGUCGCUUUCUAUUACAAAAGGGUUGGUCUCUUGGUGAAGAAGUUGAAGCUGUGUACUGCGUAUGUUUGUUGUAUAACCGUAUUGCGUUGUUAAUCCUUUUUGCAUAUAUAAUAAAGUGUGUUGUAACAUGCCGAAUUGACCGAAAAAAUGUGAACUGAACCGGAACAAAAUUGACCGAAACCAGACUGAAUCUGAUUUUUUUUUUCAGAUAUAAGUCGAUUCUCGGUUUUAUUAUCUAAACCAAAGAAACCAUUAAGGCUCUUGAUUCUCAGAUCUCUGCUCUUAGUCAAGACAUUGUCAACAAGGUUCUUCCUUCUUAAAACAAAAAAAAAAGAACUCUUAUUAAUUAAUUACUCAUGUAAAUCUCUCUUGGAUUGUUCGUGUAUAAGUUUUAUGAUAAAAUUGUUAGCUUUAUAAGUAAGUGUCAUGGACCAUCAUCGUAUGAAGAGGAUGUAAUUAUCUCAGUAAUCUGGAUUUGUCAGUCUUGUUCCACUCACAAGUCACACUGUCGUUACGUUUCAUCUAGAGGCUAUGGUCAGGAUUACUCAAAGUAUAUGGUAUCUUAGUUCUUGAUAUAUUGGAAGGUGGUUGUUAGAUUCUGGAUGGUUACGACGACUCUCGCGAUCUAAAUAGCGUGUGAUCAGAUCAUGUUUCUUCUUUUGGUUUUCUUGAUUUAGUCAUUUUGUCCACCGUAAAAGUCGAUACUCAUCAGAUAUUAUAUGUUUACCGUAGGGGUGGGUGGCAUUGCACGAAAAAUCACCCUAAUUCUCAAAUUUUGUAAUUUGAUUUUCGAUUUGUGUUUCGAAAAAAUAUAUGUAUAUCCAGUUUUUUUUUUAUAUAUCUAGAAAUUUGCAAAUAUUUUUUUACAGAUAUUCAUAGAUAUUUUAUCUAUUUUGUUUAGAAAAAAAAGUAGUUUCACCAUUAUUUAUAAAUUAAUUACUAGUUUAACUCUAAUAUUAUUUUAAUUACUAGUUUAUUUUUCUUUUUUGUUCAAUACUCCUUCUGUUUCAUAAUAAUUGUCAUUCUAGCUUUUUUUUCUUGUUACAUAAAAAGUGUUAUUUUACAAUUUCAAUGCAAAUUAUACUUAAUUUCACCCACCGUAGAGACCAAGGGUUUGAUGUUUGCAACAUUGCAUUUUACUCACCAUCUAAGGUUUUUGUGUGUUUGCUUUACAUUUUGCUUCGAUUUAUUACCUCCAAAUUUCAGCUAUCAUGUUUCCCUUUCAUUAUAAUGUUUUGUAUCAUUCCAUAGCUAUGUUUUCAUGCGGAAUAUUUAGUAUGAAUCUGAGGGUUUUAUAUAAUGUAUAUCCCAUGAAUCAUUAAGUCUUAUUGGAAGGAAUAUUCGUUAAGGGUAGCUUAGUGAAACAAAUGCGAUAGCAUAAUAUACCACCUAGUUUUAACCAGAAAGAUAUAAAGAGACCAAAAUGUAGUCUACUUAUGUAUGCUAAUGUUUUAAUUGUAUCGAGAUUCAAAGCUGCAUAAUGCAAAUAUUAUAUUUACUAUAUGAAGCAAUGGUAGGUGGGAACCAUCUUUUGGGCUCUAUUGAUCAUAAUCUGCAAGAUUGCUCUCGACCUAACUACUGAUUUUUGUUCGUUAUUAAUAUCUCCUUCGCUAUCUUCGAUAUUUUAUGUGAUGUUUAAUACAUAUAUAGGACUGAAAAUUGAGAAGGAACAACCUUAUUUCUGCGACAUAGUGAGUUAUCAAAUACGAGAAACCAUAUAUGAAUUAGAAAUACAAAUCAUGAUCUAGAAAUCACACGUUUGAGCAAUUCGAACGUGCCAAACAAAGGAUCCAAAUGAAUAUCAGAUAGUAGUUCUCUGUUGAGUAUACGUAAGUUGAUUAUCUUCUUUUAUCUUUUUAAGAACUAAGUAAGUUGAUUAUCUUAACACAUGCAUGCUUUCACACAAUCAAAUAAAUUAAAUGUCAUCGGUGUUACGAAACUUUUAAUGGCUAUAUACGUGUGUCAGGAUACGUGUAUCUUAAUCACAUGACCUCUCAUCAAACAUUGCUCAUAAAAACAUACUAAACAUAUAAAGGAGCCCAAGAAUCUUGCAUGACAUUGACAUGCAAGCAAAAAUGGAUGAGACCACUGUAAUAUUGGUCACUUACACAAAUACAGUACUAGGUUUGAUAUAAGGAAUUUGUUAAACGCUUAUGAUUGUUCCGAAAAGGAAGAAGCAUAUUUUUUUUUCUGAAAAAGGGCUUAGGAAGAAGCAUAUUGCCCAUAAAGAAAAUCCUAAAUUCAAUGCAUAUAACCACCUUUGUAUUGUCUGAUCUUCAUAUUAAUUUGUUAUUCAAGGAUUUAAAAUAUUAUCAUACUUUAAGAAACUAUAAGAAGAUUAUCUAAUAUACAAUUACAAAAUCUUCCAUUCUAUUGUAAUUCACGAUACGGCACAAAAGUAUACAUAUCCCCAAGAUCUUGGUUUCUUUUGCCUCCUCUUUUCCUAGUAUACACACCCAUAAGCAUAUUAAUAAGAAAUAAGAAUCACAUCAGUUCUAAUGUUUGAAUCACUCAUUUAAGAGAUACGCAUUAUGAGUUGUUGAGAUCUCCCAAAUAUUCGUUUGAUAUCCUUAGUUAUAUCAUUAUUGGUGAUUAAAUUAAUUUAUUAUCAACUUUGGGAUGCCGUCCAACAAAAUCAUGAUCAUGAAAUCAGAUUGUGUUCCAAUAAAGAUUGUCUCAUGACGUUUAAUUUAAGAACAAUGGGGUAUAUAUUAAGAAUUUAUAAUACUGAAAGCCGAUAUUAUUUCCAACCAGUAUAACCAUACAAAGCAUUAACAACAAUAGAAAAUCAAUUAAAAUUCGAUCUUAUAUAACUUAGAAUGCAAAUUACAUUAAUCGAAGAGCUUGAAUGGUAUUUAUAUUUUGACCCGAGCUUAGAAAGCGCGGUUUUGUUUGUUUUUCAUUUAUUAAUCGAAAACUAAUUUACAAAUUAUCAUUAUUUUUGUUUCGAACCAUAACAAUUGAGUUUUUAGGUUUUUAUCAUUUGUUUCUUUUUCUCUUCAAAAUAUAGUAAUUGUUCAAAAUGUGGUAUUUGUUCUAUAAUAAUGUUUGAGUUUUAAGAUUUGUUUUCAUAUCUGACCUAGAUUCAUGGUUGAACCUAUAGACUCGAUACAUUGUAUAUAAUCCGGUUCAGAUUUAACGAAAAAUUCGUUAAUUAAAAAUCCGAUAUAACCAUGCAAAAACCCAAAAACUCACUAUUAAACUGCGAUCUAAUACCAUUGAUUCGAUAAAAAAAACAAAAUAUCUGAUAGUAUUUUUUUCAAAAAAUUGAUUAAAUUACUCAUAUUUUUUAAUAUUACAUAAUUUAGUGAUUCCUUAGAAUUUGAUAAAAAAAAUUUAUGUUAUCCAAAUAAAAAAUGAAAAUAUAAAAAAACUUAUUGAUAGGAAAAUAUUAGUUUAUUUUCGUUAUUAAUAACCUAUUAUAAGUUUUUGUUUUUAUUUUAGAUUUAAAAAUUGAUUUUAAGAUAGUUUUUAGAAUAUUCUUGAACACUCGUAAUUGCCAUAUCAAUAUUAUGUAUAAAAUGAUAUUAUACAAGGAAAAAUGAUAUUCAAAUAUGUAUAUGAUAUAUGGUGUAGGAUAUAGGAAUUUGGUUUGUAUUGAAAAUCUGUAUAAUAUUCAAAUGAUCUAUUUUGAAUAUUGAUACAUAUAUUUAAGAAAAUAAUAUUUUCAUGUUUCUUAAUUUAUUUAUAGUUCAUAAUAUAUUUAUAUUUAUAUUAAAUUUAAAGUUAGUAUAUCUUUUAAAUAUACAGAAGAGUAGUGAGUAGUUACCUUUGGAUUCAUGGGUUAAGGUAGAUUAAGGUGAUUAAGUGUAGAUCUAGGGUGUUUUGUUGUAGAUCCUUCUUAUUCCUUGCUAGUAGAGUGAUCUAAAUGCUAUUUUAGAGUUGGUCUCUCUAAGGUUGAGCUCUAGACAUUUCAUACCUGAAAAGUAUUGAUGAAAUGUCUGAACCAACACUCCUAAGCUUUUAACACUCUUUACCAAAGAGAUUUGUUGUUAAAGGUGUUAAGAUGGCUAAUAGACUUGAUUUUAAUGAUUGCUUUGAUAAUAUUCAACCAAAGAGAUUUGAUGCUUGAGUUAUCUUAGUGAAUGAACAUUCAUCUAGAGAUAGAGUUUGUUUAGGAUUGUGUCUAAGCCUAAGGUUGAUAGAUUGAUUGAAAGGUACCACCUUUAGAUUGAAACUUGAUCACCCAAGGUCAAUUCCCUUAGCCCAUGGAUUCUCUCAUCUCAUAAAACAAAAGAAAGCUUUGUUCUUAUUUGCAUUUUAGUAAUAUUUUAGUCCAAAAUCAUCUUACCACUUGAUUGCACUUAGAUUAAGUAUGAACUUGUAUUCUCUUUGAUUCAGAAUGCUUAGAAAUGGCAUUUUAGUAGUAUUUUAGUCCAAAAACAUCUUAUCACUUGAUUGCACUUAGAUUAAGUAUGAACUUGUAUUCUCUUUGAUUCAAAAUGCUUAGAAAUGGAUUGACAUCUUAAGUACUACUUUGAUUUGAAACAUUGGACCCGAGAAAAGUCCAUUUCAAAUUUGGCGCCGUUGCCAAUUCUAAGUUGUUUUGACAUUGAGAUUUGGUCCUUACUUGAGACUAAGUCUUACUUUUAUUAUAUCUAGUUACUGAUACUCUAUCCUAGCCCUUUCGUAUCUCAGGUGCAUGAACUUGAGGAGCAGAGGCCCAACAAACCUAGUUCCACCAGUUGAAGACAUUAAAGCACUUGAGAGGGAGAUUACAAGGAGAAGAAGAGAAGAAGAGCAACAGUCUCACCUAGACAGAUUGGGGUUUGUGAUGGAUCAACAUCAGAAUCAGCCUCAAGAAGGAGAGGCCAUUACCCAAGGAGCUGCUAACCUUCGGCUACAACACCCACAGCGACAAACUAGAGCCAUUGGCACCUAUGAUCAACCUAAUAUCCAUGGGAACAGGAUGGGCAUUAGAGCACCAGCUGUGGAGAACAACAACUUUGAGAUCAAAUCUGGUUUGAUCAACAUGAUAGAGAACAACAAGUAUCAUGGUCUUGCUUUGGAAGAUCCACUUGAUCAUUUGGACAGAUUUGACAAGUAUUGUGGUUUGUCCAAAACCAAUGGUGUUUCUGAAGAUGCUUUCAAGCUGCGACUGUUUCCAUUCUCAUUGGGAGACAAAGCUCACACAUGGGAGAAGAACAUCUCAAGUGACUCUAUCACCACUUGGGAUGAAUGCAAGAAAGCUUUCCUCACCAAGUUCUUCUCUACUUCAAGGACUGCCAAGCUUAGGAAUGAAAUCUCUGGGUUUCAACAAAAGAAUCUUGAAAGCUUUGGGGAAGCAUAUGAGAGGUUCAGAAGCUACUUAAACAAAUGUCCACACCAUGGCUUCACCAAAGAGAGCCUGCUUAGUACUUUCUACAGAGGUGUCCUACCCAAGUAUAGAAGCCGGCUUGAUACCGCCAGCAAUGGUUUCUUCUUAGGAAGAAAUGAAACAGAGGCUGAGGAGCUUGUAGAGAACAUGGUUCAGAGUGAUUCAGUCUACAGUGAUGAGCAUAAUAAGAGCAACAGAGGCAGUGGAGGUGAUGACUCAAACACAAAGAGAGAGUUGAAGGCUUUACAAGACAAGAUGGAUCUACUUCUUAUGGAUAGAGCCAAACAAGAGAAAGUGAACUUUGUUAGUGAGCAGAAACAAGAAGAGAUUGAUGUUCUUAAUGAAGUUGAUGGUCUAGAAGGUCAAGAAGAGUUGUGCUUUGUGAAUGCUAAUGGGACAUGGUACAAGAAGGAGCCUCACUUUCAAUAUCAAAACAACUACCAACAAAAGCCCUUCUACAACAACCAACAAGGAAGUUAUCAAGCUAGCCAAAACUACUCUCACGGUUUCUCCUCCAAAGGAAAUCAGUCUACACAAGGCCAAGCCGGAUCUUCUACUCCUGCUCAACAAGAAAGUAGCACUGAUGCAAUGUUGAAACAGAUCUUGGAUUCUCAAACUACAAGUGAGAAGCACAUUGGAUAUGAGUUGAAGAACCUUCACACCAAAGUAGAUGGAAGCUACAAUAAUCUCAACAACAAAUUCUCAAACCUUGCUUCUAACUUCAAGGCUUUGGAGAAUCAGUUUACCUCUAUGACUUCAACCUCCAAGCUCCCAAUGGGAUCUCUACAAGGAAAAUCAGAGCAACACCCUAAAGAGUAUUGCAAUGCUAUCCUCUCUACUUCUUCUAAGAGUGAGUUAAGUGAUCAUAGGAGAGAAGUAGAUGAGCUUGAAAGACUCUUGUAUGGAACAGAAGUUCUUGCCACGGUUGAAGCACAUAUUGUGGAGAAGGUUGAACACAAGAUUGUGGAAAGGGUUGCGAUACAAACAGUAAAGAAGGUUGAGGAAAAUGUUUUGCAACCAGUUAGACACAAGGCUGAGAAACCGGUUAUUGGGAAAGCUCUCACGCAACCGAAGGAGGUCCAGCUAGAAGAAGCUAAUGCGGUUGAACAAUCACCUUACGACAAGCUCCCAUUUCCACAACGGUUCCUCACUAAAGCUCAAAAGAAGGUGAUCUCUAAGUUCAGAAAAGACAUGGGAGAUUUAGGAGUCAAACUUCCACAUAUAUCAAAUAGGCAUGAAGCUCAUGUCCAAAUGAUGCUCAUCAAGGACAUUCUAGCUCAUAAAGAAGAAGUCGGAGAGCUCCUAGACAUCUCUACUAUGCAGCUUGAUCCACCAGUCACACCAAAGUCCCUUCCCAAACUAGAAACCCAAGGGAAGUUCACCUUGUCUUGCUCCCUUGGUAAGUUCACACUUGAUGAUGCUCUUGUUGAUUCUGGUGCAAGUGUGAAUGUGAUCUCAAUAGAGAUGGUGAAGAGUCUUGGGAUUGAAAACAUGGAGCCAAACACAUCUUUACUAAUGUUUGGGGAUUCCUCUUUUACAACCCCAAUCGGUCUCAUCAAGGACUUUCCAUUGAAGAUUGGAGCUUGCACCAUUCCUAUUGACCUCACUGUUUUGAAGAUGGCAACUGAGAAGAGAGUCCCAUUGAUCCUUGGAACACCAUUUCUCACAACAGUAGGAACUUGCAUUGACUUUGCCAACAAGAAGGUUACACUUCUAAAUAUCAACAAAGCUGUCUCUUACCCAAUCAAGUCUCCUUUGAUGAAUGUCGAGUAUUGUGGAACCAUCACUUGUGGAGAACUUCCACAUGAGAAGAUCAAAGAUGAAGUGAUGGCUAGUGAAAAACAAAUUCUUGAUGGAGAUUCAUCUCAUGAGAUAUGUGAUGAGCACUUGGAGGAGG
rnacentral:lncRNA from 1 species